AUAUAGAAUGUUCUCCCCCUCUCAAACACCAGGUCUGCCUACACACGGCUGUGCUUCCCACCAUGAUGAUAAUGAACUAAACCGCUGAAAUUAAGCCAGCCCAGAGUAUGUUUUCCAUCAUGAGAGCUGCCAUGGUCAUGGAGUCUCUUCACAGCAAGAGAACCCCUGACUCAGACAGUGAGUUUGGAGGUGAGAAGACGAUUGUGGGGAGUCAGCUCUCUCCUUCAUCACUGUGGAUCCCAGGGAAGGACGGUAGGUCGUCAGCUCAGUGACAAGCGUCUGUACCUCUAAUCCAUCUCGCCCCUGCCCUUUGCAGUGGCCAUGCCUGUUUGUCAACUUGAUGAUAUCCGGAAUGAGCAACAAUCCAGAAGUGGAGGACAUACCUAUGGGAGAUGACUCCGCUGGGUUUGUAGUGGAUGAAUCUAGAUGAGCUUUGAGGUGAGGAAGACAUACCUUUAACCUUGGCCACACCCUCUGCUGGAAGUCUAUGGAAGAGGAUGACAUAGGAAGCUUUCGCUCUUUGCCUGCUCACCCUCACCUUUCGAGCACAUCCAUCCCUUCACUGGCAUUAGUGCCACCUACUUCUGCAGGAUUCCAGCAGAUACAGGAGAUCAGCUGAGACAUCCAGCCUUGUGGACCGAGCAACUACUGGAUUCUUGGGCUUUAUGUUCACGGUCAAUUGUUGUUUGAUUAGCUGGACAACAGUCUCUCUCUCUCGAUAGAUAGAUAGAUAGAUAGAGAAAAGUAGAUAGAUAGACGGGGGGGGGGGAGAGAUUCAUUCUAUAAGUUCUGCUCUAGAGAACCGUGACGAAUACACCUUCUUCCUCCUUCUUCUUCUUCCCCUUCUUCUUCCCCUUCUUCUUCCCCUUCUUCCUCUUCUUCGACAUAGUCUCCCAUAGUUGCUCAGGCCCUUGGGCUUCCUCUGCAGCACAAAUAGCUUUGAAUUUUCUCUCCUGUCUCAGCCUCCAGUAGCUAGGAUUAUAGUCUGUUGCCACCAGGUCUGGCUUACUAGCAUUAUUUUGACACCACUAAUUUUGUGUCAUAGCAUCAAUAGAAAAAAACAGCUGAGUCUAGUCAAUGGAAAACCCAAAACAAGACGUUAGCAUAGGUGCCACCAGCAAUAUUUGCAGAAGACCACGGACUCGAAGUGGAGUCCAGCAUCUGCUCAGUACACCAAGCAAAUGUCGGGAAAGUUCAAAGGCAGGAUCUGCGAAUCAUUGACUCCUGGAGACCCUGAAAUGGACUGAGCAGCUAACUAUUAAGUUCUGUGUGUAUGUGUUAGUUCUCUUGCUCUGCAGACACCUUCAGAAUUCAGCGCUGGCUGCUGUUCUUAGAACCUGCUCUGUUCUUGGAGCUGUGUCAUUGUUGUAUUGUUUUCUUUGUUCAACUAAACUCUACUUCCUAUGAUAGGACUAAGGAAUUCUUCCAUUCCUCAACACAAUUAUAUCAAUAAUUAAAUAUGAAAUGUGUGGACCCAGCUAC
rnacentral:lncRNA from 1 species